AGCAGCCGCGGUAAUUCCAGCUCCAAUAGCGUAUAUUAAAGUUGCUGCAGUUAAAAAGCUCGUAGUUGAAUUUCGGGAUCAAUAUGUUGGUCGUGCCUCGGUACGUACUAGCUUAUUGGUUUCUUCCUUCUGACGAACCAUAAUGUCAUUUAUUUGGUGUUAUGGGGAAUCAGGACUGUUACUUUGAAAAAAUUAGAGUGUUUAAAAGCAGGCUCACGCUUGAAUACAUUAGCAUGGAAUAAUGAAAUAGGACGUUUUGAUUCUAUUUUGUUGGUUUCUAGGAUCGACGUAAUGAUUAAUAGGGAUAGUUGGGGGCAUUAGUAUUCAAUUGUCAGAGGUGAAAUUCUUGGAUUUUAUUGAAGACUAACUACUGCGAAAGCAUUUGCCAAGGAUGUUUUCAUUAAUCAAGAACGAAAGUUAGGGGAUCGAAGACGAUCAGAUACCGUCGUAGUCUUAACCAUAAACUAUGCCGACUAGGGAUCGGGUGAUGUAAUUUUUUAAUGACUCAUUCGGCGCCUUA
rnacentral:rRNA from 1 species